GCCAGCGAGUAUUGAUUUUUGUUUCCCAAUCUCCAGGAGAGAAGCAAAGAAAAGAUUAAAAACACUUUGUCAGUUUGGAGUUGAAUAAGAAUUCUGCACAGGGGAGACACCGCAGAGUGCGAGGGGUCACGGCUGAGGGACAUCUUUAUAGCUUUAACUGUUUCUGAACUGGAGCUGAGCCGUCUCACUCACCCAGUGGAAAGACACCGGGUGACCAGGAUAGAACGUGCCUUGCCAGAGACUGACUGCGAGUGUCACAUCGCCGAAGAACGGAAUGUGUCGUGUAUCCUUUCUCCGGGAUAUGCAGCAAAUGCAGAGGGAUGAGCCAGCCUGUUCAGAACCCCACUGGAGUAGUUUCUCUUUGUUCUGUAUUGUAUUGAUCCUCUCAGUGCUUCCUCCCAAUUAGUUAGUUAGUUGUGCUAACUGUUUUUAAACCAGCUGGUAACCCCCCUUUCUCUCUGGCAGCCCAUAGAGCUUCCUCGUGACUUCAUGUCCUUGGAGCUCCCUUAUUCUACUCCUUUCUUUCCUUCUUUCUUUUGGUGUGGAAAACUGCCAAAGGCAAAAAAUACACAGGGCAGUAUACAACCAAUCUGCAAUAAUGUAGCUUAGAGAAUUUGAGCUCCUCAAACAAAAAGCCAAUCAGCACUAACUAGUCAGGUUCCAGUGUGUAAGCUUUCAUCAUUUAAAAUUUAGUGAGUAAGUGACUAUUUUCAUUCUAUAUCUAAGAUAGAAUACCAGACAUUCUAGAUAUGUUUGCAUUAAUACUCUAGAUUCACAUUGCAGGCACCAUUCACAUCGUUAUACAUCUGAAUCACAUUUCCAAGCAGGUCUUCAAGCCGUUAGGAGUAGGAAAUAGGACAUGGCAUUUCUGUAGAUAAAGCUGCUUCUGUAUAGUGUAGGUAGAGGUCUUGGCUGCUGUGCUCUUCACAUCCUUCUCACAAGUAAUCAGAGGAAACAAAUCAGUUUUGGUCAGUGGUCCUUGGGGAGCCGUGAGCAACCGCAUUUAAAUGUAGCUCCGAGACUGUUUGUGCCAAGGGUCAAGAGUCCUUCAGAAAAAAUUACUUGAUUUUGCCAUUAAGGACAUACGCUGGUUUGAAUGGCGCUGAGUGAAUAUUAUCAAAACAUGAGAGGAAAUGUAAUAAUUUGACCUUUUUUUUUGGAUUUAAUUUACCCACAAUCUUGUUUAUUCAAUCCUGCUUGCUUGAUCCUAGCUUUGAGGAGCGGUGCCCUUACGCACUACAUGGGAAUUCACCAAGGUCUUUUAACAGCGGCCCUCUGUCUGCACAAAGUUUGAGCACGUUACGCAACCAGAGAGAGGGGCUCCUCUGAGCACAUUUCUUAAAUGAAGAAAUGUGGGUCAAAAUUUACUGAGCGUUGAGCUGCUAACAAAUUUUGCUCCAGUGAUUUCUGCAGGGAAUGUAAAACUGCUGAUUUGAAGAGAAAAUCU